rnacentral:rRNA from 1 species
UCCCCUGUUUAUCAAAAACAUUUUUUAGCGCCUCGUUAAGUAAGACCUGCUCAUUGAAUUUUAAAAAGCCGCAGUAUCUUAACUGUGCUAAGGUAGCAUAAUAAUUUGUUAUUUAAUUGAUAACUGGCAUGAAAGGUCAAACGGAAAAUAUCUUUCUCUUUAUUUCAAAUAAAAUUCCUAAAAAAGUAAAAAAGCUUUUAGACCCAAAAAGACGACAAGACCCUAGAACCUUCAUUUAAAUUUUGUUGGGGUGACAUAGACUUACUUACUAUUAAUUCAACUUAUUAAAAGAAAUUUUAAAACUCUUCGAAAAAAAAAAAGGUACUCUAGGGAUAACAGCAUGAUUUUUCUUUAGAGACCUUAUCGACAGAAAAGAUUUUGACCUCGAUGUUGAAUUGAAAACCUUAUGAGAGCAACCCCUUCUACAAGGAGGUCUGUUCGACCUUUAAAAAUUCACGUGAUCUGAG